rnacentral:rRNA from 1 species
CCUACGGGAGGCAGCAGUGGGGAAUAUUGCGCAAUGGGCGAAAGCCUGACGCAGCGACGCCGCGUGAGGGAUGAAGGUCUUCGGAUCGUAAACCUCUGUCAGCAGGGAAGUAAGGUCACUGUGGUAAUCAGCAGUGAAUUGAUGGUACCUGCAAAGGAAGCACCGGCUUACUCCGUGCCAGCAGCCGUGGUACUACGGAGGGUGCGAGCGUUAAUCGGAAUUACUGGGCGUAAAGCGAUCGUAGGCGGUAUGUUAAGUCAAGGGUGAAAUCCCCGCGCUCAACGUGGGAACUGCCGUUGAAACUGGAGGAGUGGAGUGUGUGAGAGGAGAGUGGAAUUCCAGGUGUAGGAGUGAAAGGCGUAGAUAUCAUGAGGAACAUCAGUGGCGAAGGCGAGUAUCUGGCACAUAACUGACGCUGAGGAGCGAAAGCGUGGGUAGCAAACAGGAUUAGAUACCCUGGUAGUC